CCUACGGGUGGCAGCAGUGAGGAAUAUUGGUCAAUGGACGAGAGUCUGAACCAGCCAAGUAGCGUGAAGGAUGACUGCCCUAUGGGUUGUAAACUUCUUUUAUAAAGGAAUAAAACGAGGCACGUGUGCCUUUUUGCAAGUACUUUAUGAAUAAGGAUCGGCUAACUCCGUGCCAGCAGCCGCGGUAAUACGGAGGAUCCGAGCGUUAUCCGGAUUUAUUGGGUUUAAAGGGAGCGUAGAUGGGUUGUUAAGUCAGUUGUGAAAGUUUGCGGCUCAACCGUAAAAUUGCAAUUGAUACUGGCAGUCGUGAGUACAGUUGAGGUAGGCGGAAUGCGUGGUGUAGCGGUGAAAUGCUUAGAUAUCACGAAGAACCCCGAUUGCGAAGGCAGCUUACUAAACUGUGACUGACAUUGAUGCUCGAAAGUGUGGGUAUCAAACAGGAUUAGAUACCCCAGUAGUC
rnacentral:rRNA from 1 species